UACGUAGGGUGCAAGCGUUGUUCGGAAUUACUGGGCGUAAAGGGCGCGUAGGCGGCCUGUUAAGUCGAACGUGAAAUCCCCGGGCUCAACCCGGGAACUGCGUCCGAAACUGGCAGGCUCGAAUUCGGGAGAGGGAUGCGGAAUUCCAGGUGUAGCGGUGAAAUGCGUAGAUAUCUGGAGGAACAUCGGUGGCGAAGGCGGCAUCCUGGACCGAUAUUGACGCUGAGGCGCGAAAGCCAGGGGAGCAAACGGG
rnacentral:rRNA from 1 species